UCACAACACACUCAAGAAAAAUGGAGACAAGUGUUUUGGCGUCAUGCUGCCUCUCACAGCUCGACCUUUUCUUUCUGCCUCUUCAAAUAAAUAUGAUUACAGAAUAUAUAGCAGCCCAUCUCAGACCACUACCUCCUAAACGCACGCCAUACUCCAACACAAUGACACAAUGACCAACAUGCACAUGCACAUGACUGGAUAACAAGCUCCACGAACUAACUGGCUGACGCAUCAACGAUUCACUCGUCUGGGAACACUGCAGGACGUUGGCUCUAGGACUGGAUCACACAGGUUGUCACGCUCCACCUCCGGCCGCAUUGCACGGCUAGCUCCGCAUCCCACCUCCUGUAUGCUCAAGUGAAGUUCAACCUGGAUACAAUGCCCUAGACCAUCUCGACUACAUGCAUGUACGAAAUCAAACUAAAAUGCAGAUACAUGGAAUCAAGAUUAAAGCCAACAGGACCGACAAGAAUCAGCAAUAUCAGAGCUACAGGAGAGAUAGCCGAGGAAGCAUGAAGAACCUGCACAAUGGACCAGCUUGUUUAAUUAAGAAGCAAAUCACUCCUGGAUUUCCAUAAAUGAGAGCAUGGAAAUGAUUUAGCAACAGAGAUACCAGGAUGAUUAGAAUUAAGCAUGGAGGAAAUAUAGAGGCGCCAGGAGCAAAAACAUCUGAUCUAAAGCCUAAAUAAGAGAACCAGACUGGUCUAGCAAAGGGGCAAUGGAACAUAUGAGCAUCUGAUUCACGGAGGCAUCGGAUAGGAUGCAUCCUUUCAAAAUAUGUCUAGAUGCUCUCUUACCAGUUGCUAAACCCCACCUUAUAAGUCUCCAUGCAGAAGGGCUUGAGGGAUGGUUUGAUCCUUCCAAGAUGCAUUAGGAGUAUGAUUUUCUUGAUACGAAGGACCACAAGUAGAUGCGCGGAUUCCAGCCAUGGCUC
rnacentral:lncRNA from 1 species